rnacentral:rRNA from 1 species
AAUAUUUGACAAUGGGGGCAACCCUGCUCCAGCCAUGCCGCGUGUGAAGAAGGUCUUCGCAUUGUAAAGCACUUUCAGUUUGGAGGUAGGGCUUUAGGUUAAUACCCUGAAGUUUUGACGUUACCAACAGAAUACGCACCGCCUAACUCUGUGCCAGCAGCCGCGGUAAUACAGAGGGUGCAAGCGUUAAUCGGCAAUACUGGGCGUAAAGCGCGCGUAGGUGGGUCAGGAAGAUGGGUGUGAAAACCCCGGGCUUAACCUGGGAACUGCUUUCAUAACUGCUGAGCUAGAGUACGGUAGAGGGUAGUGGAAUUUCCUGUGUAGCGGUGAAAUGCGUAGAUAUAGGAAGGAACACCAGUGGCGAAGGCGACUACCUGGACUGAUACUGACACUGAGGUGCGAAAGCGUGGGGAGCAAACA